AGCACAAAUUACAACCAGGUCCCUGCACAUCGUCUCCCACCUCCAGACAGGGAAGCGCGACUGCCUCCGUGGACUCCAAGCAUCGCCCAAGAACUUGAUACCACCGAUCAAACCGAAGCAAAUCGAGAGGUGGACACCCAGAGGUAAACUGCAAGAGAACUUGAUUCCUCCUACCCAUUAACUGGCUGAUUUCUCUUCUUUUGUCCUUUUACUCCUUUUGUUUCCCUGUGUUUGCAUAUUAUAUAUCACGAUAAAACGAGUAUCGUCGUCCAUGCUGUCUCUGUUUUUUUUAAAUAUGCAUGGUGCAGCUGUUGUGUUUGGAUACUCCGAAUUAUUGCACCUAAAAAGUAUUCAGUUCUUAAUCAUGCUGGAAUAGUGUUGUUCUUGAGUAUUCUAUGUCUAUCCAGGUAUUGAACCAUUAACGAUGUUCUGUCUUGCCAGCCUUUCUCAUCUAUGAUCAACCUUUAGUUUAUUUGGGCAUCAUGAAACAUGCUGAUAUUGGUGUGGUUAUCAAGUACCAAUGCAGAUACACUUAUAGUGGAGUUGCUUCUACUUGCCUCCUGUAUCUCUGCUCUUCCUUUCUGCCCAAUUUCUUCCAAUCUACUUCUCAGCCUGCAAUUUACAAUGUAACAGAAAGGAUCAACCACUUGGUAACUUACCUACCAAUUAAGGAUAAUACCUUGUUCAUAUUUAUAUGAUUACGCUUGCUUAAGGGGUUAAUCUGUAUGCAGUCAACCCAUAAUGCGCAAGACUAAGGCAACUGCUUGAGUAGAAUGUCUAAAUGAUAUCGAUAUCGAGUAAAUUAAAACUUACUAGCGUCACAAGGAGGUUUGCAUUGAAGCUGUCUGAACAGUUGGUUAGUUUGGUCUUCGUUUUCAUGUGAGGCAUUCAAACCUUGCUGCGAAAGCAAUCGGCACUAUUUUAUCGGUUUCAACGACUCGCGACAAAUCCUGUUCCAGAUAGAGAUAGGUAUUCAGAUUAUGUGACCUAUUAGUAUGUGAUGGCCCAUCUAAUGUCGAGUUCUUCUUAUCUUCAAACACUGAUUAAGAAAUGGAGCAUCUUUCUUCCCCUGGUUAGAAAACUGAAGCUUUCCUCUUCACGGGACUGAUUAUAUGUGCAGUGCAUUUGUCAUCGAUGUGGACGUCUGGAGACCUUUCUUAUGCAAUGGACACAUCAUUGACCUCAUCUUCGUUGAAACUUUCCGACAAAUUAUUUGCUCGUCGAUUCGCCUGAAGAAAAGAAAUCCAAGCGCCCAACCUCCCUGAAAGUUUCCUUCCAUGUUACAACUUUGAAAUCUGACAAGAUUCAGAACCCUCCAAAACUUCUCAGCAUCUUAUCUCAAGAGCGGAAGAGCGUGCUCAUUGAAGGUGAUCUGUUGGUCUAAUCCAUGGGGACUCCGACAAAUCUCGCUGUAUCAGGAAACCUAUUGUUUAUUAUCUUGAUAAAGACUUGGUUUACUGUACUUGGUGAGAAUCAUACUUUAUCAAAAUGCUUAUUUGUAUAAACCAUUAUGCACCUUAGAGCAAGCGCGUCUGCAAUAAUAAUUUAUACGAAACCAAUUCAGAUGCCAUUGAGUUAAUCAGGUGCUAGUUCAUGGGUUUGAAGUGGUGGCACGUACAGUUUCAAGGUGUUGAAGUGAUGGGUUUGAUGAGAUAUUCAGGAUCAGCAAUCUCUGAAGUCUGAACCCCUCUGCUACGAUGUUUACAUUCAGGUCAUAUUUUUGACAACUCCAUCAAUCCUUGUUCAGUAGUCUCUAACUGCAUGUCUUGCUAAAUCAUUUCCAGGCACAGGCAAGUCACACCCGAAUUAACUGCAUAAUUUCAUCCGUCGCCUCACAUAUGAGCUCAUCAAGGACGCCUAACUCCCCAACAUUUGCAGCUUCGUGCUCGACAGUUCUUCAGUAACAAGUUCCUACCCGGAAGAAAGACACCCGUAGGCCGUAGCUGCACUGAUGUCUGAUAAGAACAACUGACAGAUAACUGAAAUUUGACGUCCAUACGUCGUCUGAAUUCGGGAUCCAAAUCAAGCAACUAUUAGCAACACUGUCUCCCAUUACUACAUUUCAGAUGUGUUGCUAUCAUGAAACCGCUGUCUCCAGAGCUUUUGCAGUACUCGGAGCAGACAUGCAGAAAUGAUUGGAUACCAAUUGAAAAACGAGGUUUCAGAAACUGUGAUUAGGCCGUGUUGGACUGGCCUGGCCACUGGUUAUAAGCAGAUGCAAGAUGCCGCGUAUUUGCUUAACAGGUCUGAUCAGACUGUGAGGCUGUGACAGUUAUCACAACUUGGAAUUUUUCAGUUGGCGGAGGCUGCCGGUGCAGGGCCUCUGUCUCACGGCAUGGAAGGCCAGCUUGAUUGAGCUCGGCUGCUCGGGAAAGCCCUAGAGAUGGAGACGAGGACGGCGGCCAUGGCGAUCCGGGCGGCACGCAGGUAUCGUUUUGGUAUCGGCAGGGCAGGCACGCCGGCUGUGGCCAUGGCGGCCGCCGCAUCCGUUCCAAUCCACCCCACGCUCUCAAACCCUAGCACCACCAACCAAAGCAGAUUCGCCGGCCAGCUUCUUCUUCAAGGACCGGGAGCGCGCGAUUUGCCGACUCCGAUCGGUGCACGCGCCGUCGCUAUCCGUCGCCCUCGUCUGGUCAGCGCGGACGCGACGGCGCCUCCCGUUGGUUGAGUCAUGCCGGCGUCGACGGUGGCUGGCCUUCUGCAGGCUAGCAUUUGUAUAGCUCACAGUUGUGUUGGAGACUUCAACCUUCUGGCUUCUAUGCUUUACUUGUAAACAUCAUUUGCACUGCACUGCACUGACGAAGUUUUGAUCGCUACUACGUACUAUCAUUUCACCUCAUCACGCUGUUCAGGCUAAUCAAAUGAUUCGUUCGAGUAUCCUACCUUUUCUUGUUUCAUAUGUCAAGAACAUUUGUAUAAUUUUUUGCGAACUCUUGUACUGACAUCUAGCACAAACCCCACUGAAUGUUUUAUUCCAUGUUGCAACAUACUGAAAUCUGAUUUACUUACCAAGACGGUGUUUGUUGAUCUCACGACUGACGUGUUGUUCAGAUGAACGGGUACUCCGACAAAUCGCACGGUAUCUGGAAACCGAUUGUUUAUUUUCCUGGUAUAAAUCAUUGGUUUCACUGCAGUUGCUUGGUCAAUCGUCAACUUGACUAAAAUACUAACUCACUACCUACUAAUAUGCACCUAAGAGCAAUAUUCUGCAGUAACUCAGAUGUCAUUCAGUAAUUCUUGUGCUAAUACAUUUUUUCACUGGGUAUUCAGUUGCCCUACGUCUACAUGGAGUCGAGUAUGGAGAAAAAUCGUCUACAGUGAGAGUACAUGCUAUCUAGAAGUAGUUCAGUAGUUCAUGCACAGGUCCUAAGAUCUUCAGGUACCUGUAGACGGAGUCGAUGACUCAAUGCAUAAGGAGAAAAAAAUAUCAACAGUUUUAAUGCUUGGCAGUACAGAGAGGGUAUCUGCUAUUCAGUUCAGUUAUCCAUGUACAGUUCCUGCCUUCCUGAGAUGUUCAGGACGCAUAUGGCUACAGGAGGGCAAAGCGACUGCGCCAGCCCGUCUUUAUUCAGUAGCGUCCAAUUAUCUUUGCCUGAACCUUUUCCUCCGAUCUGGAAAAGACCUACAGUCUCUGAACUUUCGUGCACAGUUCAGCCGUUUCCUCGACUAUGAGCUCAUCAAGGAUACAAAUGGGUCCAAAAUAAAAAAAAGAUGAAGAUGAGUAGCCAGAUGCCAGUGACGUCUGGGAUGAUCAUCAUUCUUCUGUUCUUCUCACUGUCUGAACAUCUUGAAGGAUGACAAUUGACAGUUGCUGCUUUCAAAAAAAAAACAAUUGACAGUUGCUUCUUGCAGGGAACAAUCUGUUGAAAUCGGGUUGCAGCGUCGCCCUUGACCUGUGCUGCUCUAGCAAACUGAACUUCUACAGUUGUGGCACUGGUCGCUCUCGAGGACGGGGAAGAGAUACUUGUGCGAACUGCUAAGCUUGGAGUGGAAACAGGAAUUCGCGAUCUUUCCCAGCGAUCUUGGGUUGGUUGUUGGUCGUUUUCUGUUAUCUUUGUGUGGCGCGAAUGUAGUCUAAUGAAAAAGAGGGGUGGGUGGACGGGUUGUAAUCAAACUGCUUUUUCUAUAUUACUGCAAUGACGCGUAGUUAUCUUA